CACUUCACUUCCCUCCUGCAUCGACAUGGACCAGCAAAAAAGACCCACAGCGUGGAAUUCAUCAGGAAGUCUCCCACUGGAUGAGUUUGCCGUUUCUGUGUGAUUGUCACUGCAUGAACAGCUAGAGCCGGAAAUAACCUCAAGAUGAGGAACGCUAAAGGAGGAACUUGGAUGAGCAAAAUUGCAGCAACUGGACAGUUUAUGGAGAAGACACUGCAGAAUCACAGUUGUUGCCUGGAACGACAUGCCAAACUGGCAGCCAACUCAGAGGAAGAAAAGAAAAAGAAAAAGUUGCUGGCAGCACGGCUCAAUAUUAUAAGAUCGUGUUCAUUUCACCAAACUGAUUAUUCCAUUCUUUGUGCCAGAAGCUACUUCUGAGGGCCCUGAAUAACAAGCAGCAUGCUCUCAACAAUGAGGUUUUUGAACUGUAAAUUAUAAAAAAAAAAAAUAAAAAAAAAUAAAUGCUUUUGAGUGCAACAAAUAAAAGAAAUGUGAUGAGAAUCACCUCUAAACAAGACGAUCAGGAAAACUGCACCAGCGCAAAGUGAACCCACUGGAAAAAAAGGCCGUUUUAGCUGAAUGGAUUCACUUUGUUUUAAAAAGGAGCUUCUUCACCUAUUGUGUUGUGCAGAGGUACAAAGUGUAUAUCUUAAAUUACAGAACAUUGUCUGAGCAGCAAAUAGAAAUUUAUCAAACAGACAGAAAACCACUUGCAGAGUUAAAUAUAUAUUUUUUUCUCUCUCUCGUCUUUGCAAACGGCGCCCAUACAAAUACAAAAGGCAGACACAAAGUGGGGCAGAAUACUAAAAAGCCCCCGCUGUAGGUUAAAAUGCUGCUUCCUCCAUUCUGGUGUUCUAUGUAAUAAAAGGUUGCGUGCUCUUCAGAGAAGCUGAGCACUCAUCCUUUUGUUUUUGGUGUGAACAAUCCCAACCUUGCAUCUCAUCCUAUUGCCUUGUUGUCUUGGCAAACUGGUGCAGCCAUUUGUCAAGUGGACAAAAGUGGCACUCAAUUUAAAAAUAGAUUAUUACUGGUACUUUCUUAAGAUUAUUGUGAUGUAUUUCAGGUAUUAGCUCCUAAAAUUCAUGGAUUUGGUCUUAGAGCUACAAGAGAGACUUUCUGUGACAUUAAACUCAUUUUGGAUGCAGUUUGUCAUCUAUACUGCAGCAAAACGUCAUAGUCUGUUUUUCUCUUGAGUUUUUUCUGUCCUAAGCCAACAUGCACACCUUACUCAGACGGCAACA